GAAUCGGUGCUGGGUGAAAGAUGACCAUGCCGCGGCCUGUAUUGAUGGUCGAUCAGAGGCGGAGACUGCAAUGGUGGGCGUCCAUCGAUCAUCAUUCCCACCCACCAAUUAAGUAGCAGAAGCAAGCUCCCCGCAAAAAAAAAAAAAAAAAAAAAAAAAAGAAGGUAGCAGAAGCAAGCUAAGAUAGACUGCGAGAAGAUUUGUACUACAACCAACAAUAGGGAUAUAUAUAGAAUGGAGCACUGUGAUGUUAGAUGUGCAAAGUAGCUUGAACUAGGGACUCAUAUUAAGCUGCUUCUCUCCGAUGAAGCUUGCAAACUC
rnacentral:sRNA from 1 species